GCCGCAUCACAUGCUUGCCCUGCGCGGCCCAGGAUUACAUCAGAGACCUCAUCCCUGCCUGUGCUCCCCCAGUGAGCCUCCGCACACCUUCAAACAAGGCCUCCGUCUGGCACAAAGACCAAGAAAAGGUUCCGGUCCCUUGAGGUUGGAGAAGAAAGCAACUGCAAAGAAACAAGCUAUUAAUAUUAAUGUUCCAGGAAGAGGAGAAGAGAGAAAGGACACAGUGACCUCAGAGAGCAAGGUGGUGAAGGAACGACAGCAGAUUGGAAUACCUUGGGAGGAUAUGUCAUAGCAGCACAGAUGUCGCAGACUCUGCUGAAGGUAACAAACGUCCUCACAAUGUUAUAGGUAAAACCUCUUUAUGUUGAGUCAACUGUGAUCCUUUUGCACAAGUGAAAGUGGAGGAUCCCCAGAAGUCAAGAAGAUCUCUGAUACAUGAAGAUCAAGCCCAGCAUUAAAUGAAAAGAACUUAGUAAAGGCAGAGAAAAGAAGAAUUACGUGAGAGCUUAGAUUAUAUCGGACUAAAUGUUUCCAUCAUUUCCCCCAUGAUGAGGAACUGUGGGAAUUUUGAUAUAAGGCCAUCCAGUUCAGCCUGCCCUGAGAAUAAAGAAGCUUCCUCGUUUCUCUGAAUCCGUGAGUUCUGCAGAGAUGGCGCCAUGCAAGGUUCUGGGAGACUCUGUCACAGUUGUCCCUUUGCUGGAAUGGUCUGCAAAGACUGGAGGGGGGGGUCCCCUUUCAGUAGUUUUGAGGGAUGUGGAGCGAUAUGCCUGCCCUGCUGGGUUCUUUCUACUGCCGGUGUAGCCAUGGGACCUCAGACAAGUCAACCUCACCGAGCCUGACUUCCCUCUCACCUUGAGGAUACACCUAGUCCCAACCUCACAGGGUUCUGUGAGGGCCACUGCAAGACAAUCCACAUAAAGUGCCAGCAAAGUGCUUCACUUGGUCAGUGCUUAGAAACGUUUGCCGUGCUAAUCUCUCAGAAGGCUUAACUGGAUCAUCAUGGUGGAUGAGACUGAUACAGCAUAUGGGCCUCUAUGUUUUCUAGACCUGAAGGCAGGCGGGCUAAUACAGACCGGAGACUAGAACAGUGGUUUAUGACUUGUUGCAACACUCAGACAACCCUCUAUUUCUUCUAGUAGGUUUUUCUUGUACUAAGUGACAGAGUCCUUGUUUACUCCAUAGUGACACAUGGGGCUUGAAGUGCGAAGACAGGGAUCUGUCAGGCUUACAUAGGGGAAAUGAGAGUAAAAAAUCCUUGUUUGUGUGGGGAGGGAUGUGGAAGACAAAACGGAGAGAGAGAGAAUGACAGAAGUUUACCUGUGUAGGACAUUAUUUUAGAACCAGACUAGGGUAGAAUGUUCUUUAAGAGAAAUAUUAGAUGCUAAGGCAAAACAUAUCGUUUGUGGUCUUACCUGGAAGCCUUUGAUACCAGCCUAGGCAUUUAGAAUUGAUCUUGUAGGUAGUGGAGGACCAUUGAAGGUUCUUAGACUAGUGACAGGUCUCCAGUAUGGGAGACAAUACUGAAUUAGCAAAUUAGUUAGGAAACAGGAUAGUUAUUAUCUAUAACUAAAGCAUUAUUAUGUUCAACUCAAGAAUAAUCCCCUGGCACAGAGCCUCAUGUUCUCAACAUAUGCCUGCUGCAUUUUUUUUGAAUAUAAAAUUGCUGUAGCCCAGAUGUCACGGGGUCUCAUCAGGCCUCUCCAGCUCUUUAAUAUAAAAUGACUUUGCAUUUUAGUUAAACCUGCAGUAAGUGACUCUAAGUCUUUGUCUUGCACAUAUCCAGCCCAAGGGAUGAGAUGAGGUUGGACAUGGUGGCAUCCCUCCACCCUCCUUGCUCCUCCUGCCCCCUGCCCUUAAAUCUGAAACCAGGUCCUGGGUCCUGCUGAUUUUUCUGGUUCUCCUCUGACACUACCUACCACCAAGCCCCAUUUCUCCAAGCUUCCCAAAGUUCCAUGGCAAGUAUGGUGCAAAGCACUGAUGGAGAAUGGAUAAAGCUGGACAAAAUGCCAUGAAGCCAGUACCACGCAAUUCCAUCAGUGGAGGGAGCCACCACUUAUCACAGCCUUCUGCCUUUACAAACUAUCCAUGAGGUCCCCUCCAUGGUGGGCACAGCCUCAUCAUGGGAACUGAAGGCUAAGAGGACAGGAUGGGGGAAAUAAAAUCCAGUUUGUCUUGAAUUUUUGACAUUUUGUUCAUGGCAUCCUAAUUGCCUUUCAUACUUCCUUUGUCUUUUAAGCUUUUUUCCAUCAUUAAAAAAAUGAAUUGUGUCAGUUGCCCUGUGUCAUUUGUAGAGAACUGUGAAAGUUAAUUAAAAACAAAACCAAAGCCACAGAUGUAAUUAUUACAUAAUGAGGUAAGGA